AGACGUCUACAUUAGAUACCCGCGUAGUCCCAGCCCUAAACGAUGCGCGUUAGGUGUAUCGGUGACCACGAGUCACCGAGGUGCCGAAGGGAAACCGUGAAACGUGCCGCCUGGGAAGUACGGUCGCAAGGCUGAAACUUAAAGGAAUUGGCAGGGGAGCACCACAACGGGUGGAGCCUGCGGUUUAAUUGGACUCAACGCCGGGAAGCUCACCGGAUAAGACAGCGGAAUGAUUGCCGGGCUGAAGACCCUGCAUGACCAGCUG
rnacentral:rRNA from 1 species